UCACAGUAGUACAGGAGAUGCCUGCUGUU
rnacentral:sRNA from 1 species